rnacentral:antisense_RNA from 1 species
CGUUAUGGGCGGGCCGUGUGUGGGUGCCUUCGGGCACGCCGGCCCUCGGACCGGUCCGCCAACCCGCACGGUUCCGCUCACCCAU